CUAGAAGAGCAGCUGAUGAAGCUGGAAGUUCAAGCCACAGAUCGAGAGGAGAACAAACAAAUUGCCUUGGGGACCUCCAAACUCAAUUAUCUGGACCCUAGGAUCACAGUGGCUUGGUGCAAAAAAUGGGGGGUCCCAAUUGAGAAGAUUUACAACAAAACCCAGAGGGAGAAGUUUGCUUGGGCCAUUGAUAUGACUGAUGAGGACUAUGAGUUUUGACCAGUCUCGGCAGGGGUUCUGUGAAAAGGAACAGUGUGGUUUGGGGAAGAUGGAUAAACUGAGCCUCACUUGCCCUCACACCCGAGGGAGAGGCCACAAGUCUUAACAAACCAACAUCUUUGCAAAAAGAUAGACCUGGAGAUACUAUAAGGGAGAGCUGAGCCAGUUGUCCUAUGGACAACUUAUUUAAAAAUAUUUCAGAUAUCAAAAUUCUAGCUGUAUGAUUUGUUUUGAAUUUUGUUUUUACUUUCAAGAGAGCAAGUGGAUGGGAAUUUGCCAGCAUCCUGCCAGGCAAAUUCAGCUUUGCUGCAAUGUUUGGAUUCUCUCAGCUACUGUAUGUGAAGUCUGAUUAUAUUGGUGCGUUUUUACAGUUAGGGUUUUGCAAUAACUUCUAUAUUUUAAUAGAAACAAAUUCCUAAACUCCCUCCUCUCCCCUAUUUCAGGAAUUUAAAAUUAAGUAGAACAAAACAAAAACCCAGCGCACCUAUUACAGCUGUCAUUCUAUCGUCAUGGGAAUCAGUUUUCAUUAAACUUGAAGCAGUUGUGACAUCGGCAGUGUUUUGGUUCAGACACCUAUUCACAGNAAAGCAUGAUGGGAAAAUAUUUCCUGACUUGAGUGUUCCUUUUUAAAUGUGAAUUUUUAUUUCGUUUUAAUUAUUUUAAAAUAUUUAAGCCUUCUUCUUGAUCUUAAAGAUCGUGUAGCUUGGGGUUGGGGAGGGAUGAAGGGCGAGUGAGUCUAAGGAUAAUGUAAUAAUCAGUGACUGAAACCAUUUUCCCAUCAUCCUUUGUUCUGACCAUUCUUUGUACCCUUUAAGAGAUCCAUCUUUUUCUUUGGAAACCCCAGUCUUUCAUUUGAAAGAUGUUAUUGUAUAAAAACUUCCACAGGUCAAUAAAUUUAGAGGAAAAUGAGCAUUUGGUCCAAGAAAAACAAAAACCAAAACAAAACAAAAAGAAAAAUAAUCAAGAUUUUAGGGCUUUUAUUUUUUCUUUUGUAAUUGUGUAAAAAAUGGAAAAAAAACAUAAAAAGGAAAAUUUUAAUGUGAAGACUUUUUUUUUGCUAUAAUCAUUAGUUUUAGAGGCAUUGUUAGUUAGUGUGUGUGCAGAGUCCAUUCCCACAUCUUUCCUCAAGUAUCUUCUAUUUUUAUCAUGAAUUCCCUUUUAAUCAACUGUAGGUUAUUUAAAAUAAACUCCUACAACUUAACGGAAA